rnacentral:rRNA from 1 species
GACGAACGCUGGCGGCGUGCCUAAUACAUGCAAGUCGAGCGAAGUUUUUCUGGUGCUUGCACUAGAAAAACUUAGCGGCGAACGGGUGAGUAACACGUAAAGAACCUGCCUCAUAGACUGGGACAACUAUUGGAAACGAUAGCUAAUACCGGAUAACAGUAUUUCUCGCAUGAGAGAUAUUUAAAAGUUGGUUAUGGUAACACUAUGAGAUGGCUUUGCGGUGCAUUAGCUAGUUGGUGGGGUAAAGGCCCACCAAGGCGACGAUGCAUAGCCGAGCUGAGAGGGUGAUCGGCCACACUGGGACUGAGACACGGCCCAGACUCCUACGGGAGGCAGCAGUAGGGAAUCUUCCGCAAUGGGCGAAAGCCUGACGGAGCAACGCCGCGUGAGUGAAGAAGGAUUUCGGUUCGCAAAGCUCUGUUGUUAGGGAAGAAUGGAUAUGUAGUAACUAUACAUGUAAGAGACGGUACCUAACCAGAAAGCCACGGCUAACUACGUG